rnacentral:rRNA from 1 species
CCGCCAGAAAAUUACGAGCGAAAAGCUUUAAACUCAAAGGACUUGGCGGUGCUCCAUACCGACUUAGAGGAGCCUGUCCUAUAAUCGAUACCCCACGCUAAACCUCACCAAUCUUUGCCAAAUCAGCCUAUAUACCGCCGUCGUCAACCCACCUCAUGAGAGAAAAACAGUGAGUACAAAAGUUUAAAAACUAAAACGUCAGGUCAAGGUGUAGCUAAUAGAAUGGGAGAGAUGGGCUACAUUUUUU